rnacentral:rRNA from 1 species
GAUUGAACGCUGGCGGCAGGCCUAACACAUGCAAGUCGAGCGGUAGCACAGAGAGCUUGCUCUCGGGUGACGAGCGGCGGACGGGUGAGUAAUGUCUGGGAAACUGCCUGAUGGAGGGGGAUAACUACUGGAAACGGUAGCUAAUACCGCAUAAUGUCGCAAGACCAAAGUGGGGGACCUUCGGGCCUCAUGCCAUCAGAUGUGCCCAGAUGGGAUUAGCUAGUAGGUGGGGUAACGGCUCACCUAGGCGACGAUCCCUAGCUGGUCUGAGAGGAUGACCAGCCACACUGGAACUGAGACACGGUCCAGACUCCUACGGGAGGCAGCAGUGGGGAAUAUUGCACAAUGGGCGCAAGCCUGAUGCAGCCAUGCCGCGUGUGUGAAGAAGGCCUUCGGGUUGUAAAGCACUUUCAGCGGGGAGGAAGGCGGUGAGGUUAAUAACCUCAUCGAUUGACGUUACCCGCAGAAGAAGCACCGGCUAACUCCGUGCCAGCAGCCGCGGUAAUACGGAGGGUGCAAGCGUUAAUCGGAAUUACUGGGCGUAAAGCGCACGCAGGCGGUCUGUCAAGUCGGAUGUGAAAUCCCCGGGCUUAACCUGGGAACUGCAUUCGAAACUGGCAGGCUAGAGUCUUGUAGAGGGGGGUAGAAUUCCAGGUGUAGCGGUGAAAUGCGUAGAGAUCUGGAGGAAUACCGGUGGCGAAGGCGGCCCCCUGGACAAAGACUGACGCUCAGGUGCGAAAGCGUGGGGAGCAAACAGGAUUAGAUACCCUGGUAGUCCACGCCGUAAACGAUGUCGAUUUGGAGGUUGUGCCCUUGAGGCGUGGCUUCCGGAGCUAACGCGUUAAAUCGACCGCCUGGGGAGUACGGCCGCAAGGUUAAAACUCAAAUGAAUUGACGGGGGCCCGCACAAGCGGUGGAGCAUGUGGUUUAAUUCGAUGCAACGCGAAGAACCUUACCUGGUCUUGACAUCCACAGAACUUUCCAGAGAUGGAUUGGUGCCUUCGGGAACUGUGAGACAGGUGCUGCAUGGCUGUCGUCAGCUCGUGUUGUGAAAUGUUGGGUUAAGUCCCGCAACGAGCGCAACCCUUAUCCUUUGUUGCCAGCGGUUCGGCCGGGAACUCAAAGGAGACUGCCAGUGAUAAACUGGAGGAAGGUGGGGAUGACGUCAAGUCAUCAUGGCCCUUACGACCAGGGCUACACACGUGCUACAAUGGCAUAUACAAAGAGAAGCGACCUCGCGAGAGCAAGCGGACCUCAUAAAGUAUGUCGUAGUCCGGAUUGGAGUCUGCAACUCGACUCCAUGAAGUCGGAAUCGCUAGUAAUCGUAGAUCAGAAUGCUACGGUGAAUACGUUCCCGGGCCUUGUACACACCGCCCGUCACACCAUGGGAGUGGGUUGCAAAAGAAGUAGGUAGCUUAACCUUCGGGAGGGCGCUUACCACUUUGUGAUUCAUGACUGGGGUGAAGUCGUAACAAGG